AGAGUUUGAUCCUGGCUCAGGAUGAACGCUAGCGGCAGGCCUAAUACAUGCAAGUCGAACGAGAUUAAGAGGCUUGCUUCUUAUGAAAGUGGCGCACGGGUGCGUAACGCGUAUGCAACCUACCUUAAUCAGGGGGAUAGCCCGAAGAAAUUCGGAUUAAGACCGCAUAAAAACACAGGAUAGCAUUAUCCAAUGUUCAAAUAUUUAUAGGAUUAAGAUGGGCAUGCGUGUCAUUAGCUAGUUGGCGGGGUAACGGCCCACCAAGGCGACGAUGACUAGGGGAUCUGAGAGGAUGACCCCCCACACUGGUACUGAGACACGGACCAGACUCCUACGGGAGGCAGCAGUAAGGAAUAUUGGUCAAUGGAGGGAACUCUGAACCAGCCAUGCCGCGUGCAGGAAGACAGCCCUCUGGGUCGUAAACUGCUUUUAUUCGGGAAUAAACCUUUCUACGUGUAGGAAGCUGAAUGUACCGAAGGAAUAAGGAUCGGCUAACUCCGUGCCAGCAGCCGCGGUAAUACGGAGGAUCCAAGCGUUAUCCGGAUUUAUUGGGUUUAAAGGGUGCGUAGGCGGCUUAUUAAGUCAGGGGUGAAAGACGGUGGCUCAACCAUCGCAGUGCCCUUGAUACUGAUGAGCUUGAAUACACUAGAGGUAGGCGGAAUGUGACAAGUAGCGGUGAAAUGCAUAGAUAUGUCACAGAACACCGAUUGCGAAGGCAGCUUACUAUGGUGUUAUUGACGCUGAGGCACGAAAGCGUGGGGAUCAAACAGGAUUAGAUACCCUGGUAGUCCACGCCCUAAACGAUGAAUACUCGCUGUUAGCGAUAUACAGUUAGCGGCUAAGCGAAAGCGUUAAGUAUUCCACCUGGGGAGUACGCCCGCAAGGGUGAAACUCAAAGGAAUUGACGGGGGCCCGCACAAGCGGAGGAGCAUGUGGUUUAAUUCGAUGAUACGCGAGGAACCUUACCCGGGCUUGAAAGUUAGUGAAUGAUCUAGAGAUAGAUCAGUGAGCAAUCACACGAAACUAGGUGCUGCAUGGUUGUCGUCAGCUCGUGCCGUGAGGUGUUGGGUUAAGUCCCGCAACGAGCGCAACCCCUAUGUUUAGUUGCCAGCACGUUAAGGUGGGGACUCUAAACAGACUGCCUGUGCAAACAGAGAGGAAGGAGGGGACGACGUCAAGUCAUCAUGGCCCUUACGUCCGGGGCUACACACGUGCUACAAUGGAUGGUACAGAGGGCAGCAAGCUGGCAACAGCAAGCGAAUCUCAAAAAGCCAUUCACAGUUCGGAUAGAGGUCUGCAACUCGACCUCUUGAAGUUGGAUUCGCUAGUAAUCGCGUAUCAGCAAUGACGCGGUGAAUACGUUCCCGGGCCCUGUACACACCGCCCGUCAAGCCAUGGAAGUUGGGGGUACCUAAAGUAUGUAACCGUAAGGAGCGUCCUAGGGUAAAACCGAUAACUGGGGCUAAGUCGUAACAAGGUAGCC
rnacentral:rRNA from 1 species